AUACAAGAUGAGGUAAAAAAGAAGACAAGGCCAAAUAAAGCAGGAUAGUAAAAUCCAUGGUGGGAAUCUGAAUUUUUUUCUAAGUGUGAUAUAUUCUAACCAGAGAGUAAUAUAUCUUUUUUUUUUUUUUUUUUGGUACCGGGAUCGAACUCGGGACCUUGUGCUUGCAAGGCAGGCGGUGGAGCCACUGAGCUAAAUCCCCGGCCGGAGAGCGAUAUAUCUUUGUAUUCUAUAGGAAUCAUCCAGGCUCUAUGUAAAGAAUGGUCAGGGUCUGUAAAAGUUUCUAGAAGAAAAGGUUGGAAAGAAGCAUUAAUCUUGAAAUACAAUGGUGUGGAGCACAGCAAAGAGCUUUCUGGGGUCGGAAGUUAAAACAAGGAAAUGGAUCCACGAUAGUAGGCUAGAGGCACCACUCUGAGACAUUCACCCAG
rnacentral:lncRNA from 1 species